GCGUGCUGCAUGGGCCGGGAAUCGAACCCAGGCCUCCUGCCUGCUUAAUGCAUCUUUCAAGGACCAACUAACUCAUGCUUAAAGAAGCACUUUUGUCCAGGUUUGGUAAGCACAGCUGUGGUCAUCAGCCCGGAAUCACUUCAGCUAAGUUCAUCGCUUGAACUUAUUUAACAUCACCCAGGUGAUUGGCAUUUGCUCCAAUAUAAGCAUUGCACAUUGUGGUUAUGAACUUUCCACAAUCUAAUUAGUCUUUUGAUCUUCUCAGAUAGAAGGCAUGUUCAUUUGCAGCCCUGAGGGUGAAUAUGCUGAGUGGCAAGUGAGAAACAUCCACAUCUGGUUCACCCUUAAAUUGAAGGAAAAACAAAUAAGAAAAUAAAGAAGAAAAGGAGGCAUGAGAAGGAAGACAAUAAAAAUGGAGUGAUUCCAUCUUGGACUCUAGCCCAUCCUAGACAGCCCUUCCUGAACAUACUAAAUUACCAAAAAUGUCCACUCAGUUUCGAUCCUGGGAACACAGCUACAAACAAAAGACAGAUCAUCAGGGGCCAAGGAUUUUCUGUACUACACCUCCCCCUCCGCUCUGCUCUCCUCUUCAGCAACCCCUUAGAUUCUCCUCGCUUCCUGUUGUCUGAGUUAGCCAACUGGGAUAGAUUGUGAAUCUCCAAACCAGCCAAUGAGAAAGAGGUCAGCUGAUUUUCUCUCAGCAGAGAAAAAAGGAGCUAUCCUUCUUUGUGCUGUGUCUCCUACCUCAAGCUUGUGCCCUUUUGCAAAUGGAAAAAGCUUUGUCGAG
rnacentral:lncRNA from 1 species